GAUUUUCCUUCCUGUUUAGUUACCGUCUCUCAUGUAUAAAUAGGUUGUAAUCUCUAUUGUGAUAUACAAUAAUAAACAUUAUCUUUCUACAUGGUAUCAGAGCCUUUCUCAUAGAGAUUUUUUUUCUCUUUUCUCUCUCGUAAAGUUUUAAAAUUUUUUUUUUGGAGACUUAGGGCUCCGUUCAUUUGAGUUAUCCAUAAAGGGCAACAUUUGGAUCUCACCAUCGCUGGAGUCACCACACCGACUCCUUGUCAGAUUUGAGGUUUGUUUGCCGUUCGGGUGUUGGGUGGAGGUGUUUUAUUUGGUACUGUUCAUCGGCACCGUUCACGGGUACUGUUCACCGGCACUGUUCACG
rnacentral:lncRNA from 1 species